GCAAGAUACCACGGGCGCACGGCGGAUGCCUUGGCACAGGGAGCCGAUGAAGGACGCGGCAAGCUGCGAUAAUCCCCGGCGAGGAGCACACAUCCUUCGACCCGGGGGUCUCCGAAUGGGCGAACCCAUCCGUAGCAGUACGGAUAUCCCGACCCCGAACACAUAGGGGCCGGGAGGACAACCCGGGGAACUGAAACAUCUAAGUACCCGGAGGAGAGGAAAUCAAUCUCGAGACUCCCCGAGUAGCGGCGAGCGAAAGGGGACCGAUGGCCAAACCGUCGAGCGGGCAUACCCGGCAGGGGUUCCGCCGACGGGGUUGCAGGGCCGCGCAUCCGGGGGCUGCCGCCCCCGGGCGCAGGUCCGGCUGGGGAGCGGAACGGCAUGGGAGGGCCGGCCGCAGCGGGUGACAGCCCCGUACGCGAACCCAGACCGGACGGCGCGACGCGGUCCCUGAGUAGGGCCGGGCACGUGAAACCCGGUCCGAACCUGGGUGGACCACCAUCCAAGCCUGAGUACUACCCUGUGACCGAUAGCGCACCAGUACCGUGAGGGAAAGGUGAAAAGCACCCCGGGAGGGGAGUGAAACAGUACCUGAAACCGUGCGCCCACGAGCAGUCGGAGCACCUAUAUGGUGUGACGGCGUGCCUUUUGUAGAAUGAGCCAGCGAGUCGCUGGCGCGGGGCGAGGUUAACCGAAAGGGAGCCGGAGCGAAAGCGAGCCUUAACAGGGCGACUUGAGUCCCGCGCCGCGGACGCGAAGCCGGGUGAGCUAUCCGUGGGCAGGCUGAAGCGGGGGUAAGACCCCGUGGAGGGCCGAACGCACGUCGGUUGAAAACGGCGGCGAUGACCUGCGGAUAGGGGUGAAAGGCCAAUCAAACCCGGAGAUAUCUCGUUCUCCCCGAAAUAGCUUUAGGGCUAGCGUCGCGCGUUCACCGCCGGAGGUAGAGCACCGGAUGGACGAGGGGGCUUCGCCGCCUACCGAAUCCAACCGAACUCCGAAUGCCGGCGGCCCAGAGCGCGGCAGUCAGAGCAUGUGGGCUAAGCUGUGUGCUCGAGAGGGAAACAGCCCGGACCGCCCGCUAAGGUCCCCAAGUUCCAGCCGAGUGGCAAAGGAUGUGCGUCCGCCCAGACAACCAGGAUGUUGGCUUAGAAGCAGCCAUGCAUUCAAAGAGUGCGUAACAGCUCACUGGUCGAGUGGACAUGCGCCGACAAUACACGGGGCUAAGCUGGACACCGAAGCGGCGGGAUUUU
rnacentral:rRNA from 1 species